GCCUUGAUCCAAUUGCUCCUGCUGGUCCUGCCGAUCUUACUUGCUUCCAAGGCUCUGAUCUUGAUCACCGAAGUAAUGCCCACUGUCUAAUCUCGAUCAUCGAUUAUCGACACACAAGCAUUCAAGGCCACACAUACACAAAGCAAACAAAGCUACAAUUAGAACAGUACACCAACAGUAAAUAAAUUUAAAUAAAAGUUUCCAAAAUCAUCUACACGUUGCUACGAUCACGUCAAUGAGAAAUUCACGGAAAACGGAGUUACGACAUGAAAUCUACGCAUUAAACGGGACUGCGAAGGCUAUCUACGGACUUGUAUUUAACUAGGAAAUCUAACAGUGGUGAACCUAGAAAACAAUGGUACCAACGCGAAGCUUAUGAAAUUAUAAAAGUAAAGCAACUUGAACGGAUCGAAUCGGAGCUAAAACAGAGAAGAUAUGAAUUUUCUAAGAUUUUCUUUAGAAAAGUAAUUAAUUAAAUAGGAUCACAAAAUUAAAAUAUUUCAAACUGAUGAACCAAGAUUACUAACAUGUAGAUCUCGCGAAAACGAAUCUAACGCAAUUUGAACGGGUCAAAUCGGAGCUAAAACGAAUAUUUUAUGGCCAAAACAUUGCAGUGGCAAUUCUGUAAUUAAUUUGAAGUCGAAAAUGAAAUUUAAAUCAAAUUUCAAUCUGGAUAUGGAGUUGGCUGAGGACUGCGGGUUCUAUAUCUAUGAAGUCGAGGGGCUCUUUAAUAAAAAUCCCCGCGAAGGGGUAAGUUCUAAUCAUGGUCGUUGGAUCAAGCUUGGAUGCGCAUGAUUAAAAGAAAAAAAAGAAAAAGAGAGAGAGAGAGGGAGGGGGCGGUUGGAGGAAGAAGAAGUUGCUGACGGGUGGGUCCCACAUGGAGAGAGAGAAAGGGAAAGGAGAAGGCGGGCUGGCAGUUGCUGCGCGAGUUGGGCCGGGCUGGAAUGAGAGAGAGGGGGAGGGAAUAGGAUUUUUCUUUUUAUUUUUCAAUAAAUUUUCAAAGCUCAUUUUUUAAAUUUGAAUUUGAAUAAAUUCUCUUUGCAAAACUUCACACAUCACAAAAAUGAAUGUUGCAGCAUGUAUGCAUC
rnacentral:lncRNA from 1 species